GCCGGUGACUACAGCGAAGGGGAAACACCCGUUCCCAUUCCGAACACGGCAGUUAAGCCCUUCUGCGCUGAUGGUACUGCGGGGGUGACCCCGUGGGAGAGUAGGUCGUUGCCGGCU
rnacentral:rRNA from 1 species